UCCUUCAUUUCAAUUUGUGCUAACUUUGGGGGGGGGGGGGGAAAAGCAAAGAACCAUUUGAAAAUCCAUUGAAAGCUUCAGCUCCUCUCAAAAAGGUGUUAAGUCUCCAUGAUUUUGUAAACUGUACCUAAUAUAUAGAACUAUUUCAAAUGUAGUGAAUAUUUAUGUGAAUUAUAACUGUCUGUACUGAGUUGAAAUUCCCCAGAAUCAGAACCCAAGACAGGACUUGAGUGCAAGAAACUGACUUGAGAGGUGGACAAGUGAGAUAGACCAGGGAAACAAGUCAAUACAGGCUGCAUUAAUGAGUAAGUUACUGCUGUGAGCAAUGGGUGUCAUGCCCUCUGAGGACUCCUGGGAGCACACAGAAGGCAGGCCUCAGAGAUGUCACAACUAAUGGCUGAAGAAGUUGGAGUACCUGUCCAGCUCCCUCUAGUUAAUGGUUAAGGGCUACUCCUGGGGAUAAUAACUUGGCACUUCUGACCUGAACUUUCAACUGUGGCAGGGAAGGCCUUCAGGCUCAAAGUCCCAGAGGCUUGCAAUUAGGAAGCUAUUGGGUCAGAAGACAAUAAAUUUGUGGUGAGUGCCAUGGGAUGUGGGCAGGACACACACAAAAUAUGCUGUCACCACUAAGUACCAAUAAGAAAAAUGAAAUGCCCUUCCUCCUUAAAGUAAAACUACAAAUACUUACUGAGCACCCAUUCUGUGCCAGGAGCUCUGUUGGGCACUAAUGAUUUAGAAAAGGAAUGAAGUCAGUUUCAUGACUUUAGUCCACAAUUUGGAGAAGACAGUAGUACAUAGACAGGUUAUCAAAAAUCCUCUAAUAGAAGGAUGUAAAAGUGGGGCCCGGGGUUCUGGCAUUUCAAGUGGAAAGAUUACCCUCUUCAAAGCAGCUAUAAUAAAUAGUACAUAACAUUUCUUCCAGGAGUAAAGAAAAACAGAGACCUCACCCUGAUGACAGCAACAAAAACACCAAACAAUCUGCCAAUUCACAAUUUUUUCAACUCAUUGGAGUUGGAAACUCAUUGUAACCAACCUGCAUGAAACAAAGGAAAGAGAGGCACUUGCAAGGAUGAAAAUGCUUACCUGGGGCAGAUGCUGCUAAAUGCUGUUUAAAAGAGCUAGAAUUUUUACCAUAUUGGUAAAAGUAAAUGUAGGCAAGCAAGAGAACAUAGUACCCUUAAGGCCUGGGACAGGAGGUGAAAUUUACACUCAGGUUUUUCUCUGUGGACCUUCCCAGCUGCUAGCAUAAAUGACUGGCCAGAGUCCUGAGGCAGUCUCCACUAGGUGCAUAGGGGAAGAACAGCCACUGUAAGAGAGGAACAAAAUUCCUCCACGAUCCUUUUCUCACUUCUACUAUGGAACAAAAGCCUUAAACUGCUGAGGGGAGGACACAAACGAAGCACCCUGUCUUCCUUAGAACACUAGUGAAAGUCCAUGUAUGUCACACCAUUUUAUGAACAGUCUUAGACUUAAAAACAGCAUUCCUGUUAGAACCAACUUCAAGACACCGGUGGUCUCAAUCUUCAGCCAGGCCACUGGCCUAAGCCUCUCUUCACCAAACACUAUGGAGCCACUCAGUGUAGAUGAAUCUUUCAGAGUCUUGGAGAUGAAGGACAGAAAAAUCAUAGCCAACAAGGGGGCUUUAGUGGGAAAAAAAAAGUUUUAAGAUGAAGACUUGAGCAUGGUUAUGGAUAUAGCAAGAAAGUCAAGUAGGAUUGAUAAUACUCAAUGAGUUAAGACAAGUUAUAAAUCACUUAGCACGAACUUCCUCCUGUAUGUUACAUCGGUGUAGCUGCUUAGACAUGCAAGUUUAAUUUUUGUUUAAAAUAGGGAGGAGAUUCCACCUGAAUAAAUUCCUGGAUUAAAUUUAGUAUCAGAUUUAAUUUUUACAGUCAAGAACAAUUAAAUUGCUCAUAUUUUCUGGAUCAUGAGUGCUAUUCACACUGAAAUGUGUAACAUUUCGCUCAUUGUCAAAAACAAAAAAACCUUUAAGUGCUGACAUGAAGAACUGUGCUUCAUUUCAAAUUGUGCAUGCACAUCACUGCAGUACCAGAAGCUCCUCAUACAUAUGAGAGAACAUACUAGAAGAUUCAUCUCCUCUUAGUUGAUUUGACAGAAGCAGAAGCAUCUAACCUAAAUAUCAUGAAUUUUUAAAAAUAUUCCUUCAGUCUUAUUUAGAGUUAUGGAAUCGGGAUAAUUUCCUUCUUCUAUUAACUGCCAUUUAGUGAAGUAAGCAUUAUUUCAAAGAAGAGAAGCACUAGUCAUCAAAAAGUAAUUCCAUUUCACAUACCACAUUAAACUUAACAAAAGCAUUUAAACACUUUUGAUUACUGAAAAAUUAAACAUGUAUAAAUUAUUCAGUAUCAUUUUAUACAUAGCCAAAACUUAAAUAUAUCUUAUCAAAUGAUUUCUGAAAGAUAUAGUGUGAAAAUAUAUUCUUCCUCAGUUCUUUCCCUACUCCAAAAAGCUUUAAGAAGCUUAACACAAAACUAAAAAUUAAAAUGAAUCCAAAAAAGGUGAACAAAAGCUAUCCUUAGACUGACUCUACCAGUUCUAAUGUCUAUACAACCAGAUUGAAUUUGACCUGCACAUUAGAUACAGCCUGUUACUUUCCCUGUGAGGAGGGUUAGGCACCUGAUUUCUUAAGAGCAGUGAAAAAUGUGACUAUAAGCUAUAGCAUAGAUUUCUGUUACAUGUUAGAUGAUAAAAUCAUGAAAUGUUAAGAUAUAUGCACUUAAAGCAAGUCAAAUUAUAUACCUCAGCUAUGGUUAUAUACCUUUGGCUAUGAAGCUAGCUUAGGAAAAAUUAAAAUCAGAUUUAAUUUGUAUUCUAUAAGCUGGCAUUAAAAAAAAAACCAAGGGAAAGAAAAAAGCUCUGCUUUGAUUUUCCAGUAGUUAGUAAAUAAGGUGGUACUCUAAGUACUAUAUCAAAUAUAUAUUUCACAUGUGGGUUAACUUAUUCUAUAUACCCAAGUUUCUGUGUGUUCCAAGAAGUUUCUCAUUUUCAUUUCUGAAAUGAAAGUAUGAAUCAAAGAUGUUCAGCCUAAUUUUUUUGGUUCUUUACUCCCAAAAUAAUGGAAAAAUUUUAAUGUAAGUUUCUCGAGGACAAGUCUUGCUGCCUGUAUAGGUUUUGGCAUACAGAAUGAAUGGAGGAUAGUAUAAAGCUCUGACAGACUUAAAGUUACUACACAGAUAAAGACAUUAAAGCCUUUCUGAAAUCAUUAAUAAUAUUUCUGAAGUCUCUGAGGCAUAGUUGUUACUGUAAUAUCACUUCUAAGACCUUAUGUACUCAGUAUAAAAUGUAAAUAAAGGGACUAGGCCACAUUCAUUUCCAUUAUUCUCUCCACAUCUAAUAUUGGGCCUCAGAAAUAAAUGGUUAUUGAGUAGAAUUCACUGAAUUCCAUUGAAAAUUUCAAAACAUAAUGCCAAUACAAAGUUUCGUUUUUUUAAAAAACAACUUGAUUAGAUUUUAAACAAAGGCAAAAAUAAUAUUAUACCUUUUCUUAUACAUCAAAUGCUUUCCAUAUUUCAUUAAUGAAAUAUUUACUAACUACUAUUUCAAUAUAUAGAACUGAACCACAAAGUCAACUUACAGUAUAUUUUAAUACCCUUUAAGAGUCACUGCCUCUUUUUAUUCCUCAUGUUACUCUUACUUACAAUUCCCUUGUUUGGGAAAUAAAAGUAAUAUCUCACCUAUUUUACAGAGUUACUGGAAAGACUAAGUGAAUAUCAAUAUAAUGUGAUAGAAACUGGACAGCUAUGUUAUUUAGUGUUGUUACUCUCAAAGCAUCUACCAUUUUAUUAUUUAUAACUGGUCCCUGCUAUUCCCUGCACUGGUUCCAAUAUAAUUUUCUGCAACAGAUAUGUUCUGUAUCUGCCUUUUACAAGAGCCACUCGCCAUACAUGGUUAUUCAGCACUUAAUAUGUGGCUAGUGUAGAUAACUUAAAAUUUUAAAUAGCUUAUGUGGUCACUGACUACCAUAUUGACCAUCACAACUUUGGGUAUUUAAAAACAUAUAAUUUUUCCAUUGUUAAAAUUUCAUUUUCCCAACCAGUUUCCACUCUUUUCAAUGUGGGGCAGUGCUAUACGAAAAUAAAAGACAACAACUUAGAGAAGCAAAACUCCACUUAAAAUAGCUCAUUUGGCAAAUAGGGUCUU